GCAUUUUGUCAUCCCCAGGGAACACUGCUUUGUGUAGUGCUGGCCUCAUUCUCAUCCUCAGAGGGACUCACACCAGCUUGAUGGCUGACCCUGCCACAUAGAUCUCUACCACCUUUCUAGAAGAGAAUACAACAAAACAAAGUCAUCUGCCAUUAUGCAUCACAUUUCUUCUUAUUACUUCUUACCACAUGCAACUGCAUCACAGAAACCUCAACUAAUAUCUAUCACAGAGUGCGGAAGGACAAUGAAAUUUCUGAUAACAUAUGAAUUUUAAUUUCACUGUAAAAUAACUAGGCUAUCUUGUACUUGCUGAUAUUUUGUUCUCACAUGAAAUUCAAUGCAUUAAAAUCUUAAAAAUCAAAUACCAA